AGCCCUAUACAUGCAAGUCGAACGAACUCUGGUAUUGAUUGGUGCUUGCAUCAUGAUUUACAUUUGAGUGAGUGGCGAACUGGUGAGUAACACGUGGGAAACCUGCCCAGAAGCGGGGGAUAACACCUGGAAACAGAUGCUAAUACCGCAUAACAACUUGGACCGCAUGGUCCGAGUUUGAAAGAUGGCUUCGGCUAUCACUUUUGGAUGGUCCCGCGGCGUAUUAGCUAGAUGGUGGGGUAACGGCUCACCAUGGCAAUGAUACGUAGCCGACCUGAGAGGGUAAUCGGCCACAUUGGGACUGAGACACGGCCCAAACUCCUACGGGAGGCAGCAGUAGGGAAUCUUCCACAAUGGACGAAAGUCUGAUGGAGCAACGCCGCGUGAGUGAAGAAGGGUUUCGGCUCGUAAAACUCUGUUGUUAAAGAAGAACAUAUCUGAGAGUAACUGUUCAGGUAUUGACGGUAUUUAACCAGAAAGCCACGGCUAACUACGUGCCAGCAGCCGCGGUAAUACGUAGGUGGCAAGCGUUGUCCGGAUUUAUUGGGCGUAAAGCGAGCGCAGGCGGUUUUUUAAGUCUGAUGUGAAAGCCUUCGGCUCAACCGAAGAAGUGCAUCGGAAACUGGGAAACUUGAGUGCAGAAGAGGACAGUGGAACUCCAUGUGUAGCGGUGAAAUGCGUAGAUAUAUGGAAGAACACCAGUGGCGAAGGCGGCUGUCUGGUCUGUAACUGACGCUGAGGCUCGAAAGUAUGGGUAGCAAACAGGAUUAGAUACCCUGGUAGUCCAUACCGUAAACGAUGAAUGCUAAGUGUUGGAGGGUUUCCGCCCUUCAGUGCUGCAGCUAACGCAUUAAGCAUUCCGCCUGGGGAGUACGGCCGCAAGGCUGAAACUCAAAGGAAUUGACGGGGGCCCGCACAAGCGGUGGAGCAUGUGGUUUAAUUCGAAGCUACGCGAAGAACCUUACCAGGUCUUGACAUACUAUGCAAAUCUAAGAGAUUAGACGUUCCCUUCGGGGACAUGGAUACAGGUGGUGCAUGGUUGUCGUCAGCUCGUGUCGUGAGAUGUUGGGUUAAGUCCCGCAACGAGCGCAACCCUUAUUAUCAGUUGCCAGCAUUAAGUUGGGCACUCUGGUGAGACUGCCGGUGACAAACCGGAGGAAGGUGGGGAUGACGUCAAAUCAUCAUGCCCCUUAUGACCUGGGCUACACACGUGCUACAAUGGAUGGUACAACGAGUUGCGAACUCGCGAGAGUAAGCUAAUCUCUUAAAGCCAUUCUCAGUUCGGAUUGUAGGCUGCAACUCGCCUACAUGAAGUCGGAAUCGCUAGUAAUCGCGGAUCAGCAUGCCGCGGUGAAUACGUUCCCGGGCCUUGUACACACCGCCCGUCACACCAUGAGAGUUUGUAACACCCAAAGUCGGUGGGGUAACCUUUUAGGAACCAGCCGCAUAAUAGGCACACACCAU
rnacentral:rRNA from 1 species